UCCUCGUUCAAAGGAUCGCAGUCGAAGCACACAAACGGAGCAGACACACUACGUUGUCUCUCAGCCCAUCCAUAGGCUAGUCGAUGCUUUGGGAGAAAGUCCCCGGACGACCUUUUCUACACUCGUGAAUUAAAGGAACGCGGAAACGCGCCGCCAUAGAAGCACUGCGGCUUCAUUUCUCCUCUCCUUACCUUUCUUCAGAUCGACCUUGUCCGUCGCUUGUACUCGAUUUCCGCGCUUUUGAUCGCUGCUGCUGGGGGAGGGGGAGACCUUAUGGAUGAAGAUAUGAGUCCGAGCUCCUCUGAUCUCAGUUGCGGUAGAUAAUUUGCAACGACUGCGGGGAGGCGGGGAAGUGCACUGGGCCUGCGUUGGGGCUUAUGGGAGGGGGGAGGCUUUCGUCGAGAGUGAUAGUUAUGCGAUUGCCCUUCUUGCCAGCUUCACGGUUGGUCGAGGGGGGUAACUCGAUGGGGCUUAUUCUUGACACGAGG
rnacentral:RNase_MRP_RNA from 2 species